rnacentral:rRNA from 1 species
GUACACUCCUGCGGGAGGCAGCAGUGGGGAAUUUUGGACAAUGGGCGAAAGCCUGAUCCAGCAAUGCCGCGUGAGUGAAGAAGGCCUUCGGGUUGUAAAGCUCUUUUGUCAGGGAAGAAACGGUGAGAGCUAAUAUCUUUUGCUAAUGACGGUACCUGAAGAAUAAGCACCGGCUAACUACGUGCCAGCAGCCGCGGUAAUACGUAGGGUGCAAGCGUUAAUCGGAAUUACUGGGCGUAAAGCGUGCGCAGGCGGUUUUGUAAGUCUGAUGUGAAAUCCCCGGGCUCAACCUGGGAAUUGCAUUGGAGACUGCAAGGCUAGAAUCUGGCAGAGGGGGGUAGAAUUCCACGUGUAGCAGUGAAAUGCGUAGAUAUGUGGAGGAACACCGAUGGCGAAGGCAGCCCCCUGGGUCAAGAUUGACGCUCAUGCACGAAAGCGUGGGGAGCAAACAGGAUUAGAAACCCCGGUAGUCCCAUG